rnacentral:rRNA from 1 species
AAACCAACCGGGAUUGCCUUAGUAACGGCGAGUGAAGCGGCAAAAGCUCAAAUUUGAAAUCUGGCGCCUUUGGUGUCCGAGUUGUAAUUUGAAGAAAGUAACUUUUGGAAUGAGCCUUGCAUAAGUUCCUUGGAAUAGGACGUCAUAGAGGGUGAGAAUCCCGUUUAUGGUGGGGUAUUCAUUUCAAUGUAAAGUGCUUUCGAAGAGUCGAGUUGUUUGGGAAUGCAGCUCUAAGUGGGUGGUAAAUUCCAUCUAAAGCUAAAUAUUGGCGAGAGACCGAUAGCGAACAAGUACAGUGAUGGAAAGAUGAAAAGAACUUUGAAAAGAGAGUGAAAAAGUACGUGAAAUUGUUGAAAGGGAAGGGCUUGAAAUCAGACUUGGUAUUCAGUGAUCAGCAAUCUCUUGGGGUUGUGCACUUGCUGUUUACUGGGCCAGCAUCGGUUUUGACGGUGGGAUAAUAGCUUAGGAAUGUGGCUCCUCGGAGUGUUUAUAGCCUUUGUUGAUACCACCAGUCGAGAUCGAGGACCGCGCAUUUUGCUAGGAUGCUGGCGUAAUGAUUUUAAGCCAC